UGAAGAGAACAAUGUAAAAUCAGUCAUAAUUGUAAUGACUGUUGGGCUAUUGAUGGACAAGCAUUUUAAGCAGACCCUGUUGAGUCCAGGCCACAAGUGUGAGCACUAUACCUUUGGUAUUCAGGGACUGUCUUUUUCAGCAUCUUCUUUCUUUUAGGCCAACAUUUCCAUAAAAUAGUGGGCCACUGUUCUCACAGUGGGUGUGUAUCACUAUGGCAAAUGGCAAGAAAGUCAGAUCAGGUUACCAAGUGCCCCUGGCUAGCUAUCAGAGCAAGACUAUGAAGCAUUGUUACAGUGCCAAGGAGGGAUUCUCAUCUACCGAAGGUGCUAUAGGCUAGAAUUAGGCUGUGUAAAAGGGCAGUUCACUAGGUUAAACAAAACCUAAUUUACUAUGUAGAGUGGGCAGGAGAGCUUUGCACUGCCUACAUUUGGGCUUUGAAUGAAAUCAAGAGAGUGCUUGACACCCUCGGUUCACCAUGGCCUGAGAGCAACAGUUCCUGCCCCAAGUAUGUUACAUCCAAUGUUACAUCCUGUCAUAGAUGGCCCAAGUUGCAGACAGCCCAGAUCAAAAUUUUGAAACAAAACAAGGGUUAACUGUUCUGCAAGACAUCUUUGAUAAAUAAGAGGCAUGGAAAGACUGGGGGGCCUUGAAUGAAUUCCCUGGGGCUUACUGUCCUGCCCUUUUCCAUUUCCAUUUCCAUCUCCCUUUCUCAGAUUGCUUCCAAGUCCUGUAUUCAGGUUUUUUCUGUGAAGCAUUGCUAUGUGUGUACAAAAGGUAAGAGCUGAGGGGUCACAGACAUGGGCAAAUGGUGUUUCUCAAGAGAGUGUGUACAUUUACAUGAGUAUGUAUAUGUUGUGGUACUGUUUCUGAGGGAGGGUUAUAGGGGAUGUGUGUGGUGCUUCCAUGAUGUAUGUGGUACAUGUAAUGUAUAUAGUGAUAGUAUUGAUCAUAGAAUCUGGAAUAGUAGACAAACCAAUUACCAUGGCCAUAAGGGAGUUUCUCAACUGAGUAAACUGAAGUGGGAAAAACCACUCUAGAUACAGACAGCAAUAUCCAUUGGUCUGAGAUCCCAAGCUGAUUAAUAACAAGGUGAAAGGAAGGGAGCUCUGGCAUUCUCUCUGUCAUUUAUGAUUGUGUAUGCAAUAUGACCCCAUGCCUCAUGUUCCUGCCACCAUGCAUCCUUCCCUUACAUGAAGGACUGCAUGCUUACUAUGAACUAAACUCACUUUAAGUUGAUAUUUUUUUCUGGCAUUGUUUGACAACCUCAACAAGAAAAGUAACUAAUACAGAAAACUGGCAUCAGGAGUGAUGCAGCAGCUAAAUCCUGACGGUGUGGUUCUUAGGCCUGUGAAAAUAGAUGCAGGAAAAUAGUCUGAAAGUUUGGAACAUUGACACAGAAAAGCCCAAGAAUGCAUGCGUGUGAUAAGUGUGCUUUGGAUGGAUGUGCGAGAGCAUGUGUAUGCAUGAUAUACAUAAUGUGAUACAGUUUGUGGAAAGGCUGUGGCACAAGUGGCUAAAACAGGCAUGUCAGGAGAAAGUGUGAUAAUGACUGUGCUAUGUAUGUUAGGGUGUUCUAUGUUGUUAUGUAUUGUGUGGAAGGGCAUAGAAUGUGUAAGAGCCACAUGAUGUGUUCUUAUGAUAUACACUACAUGUCUAAGCUUUUAUGUGUCUUGUAGUAUCUAGUAUAUAUUUAUGGGAAUUAUGGCAUGUAUUUAUAUUGUCUGUUACAUAGGAAUAGUAUGUAUAAUAUCUGUGACAUGUGGAUUAUAACUAAGAGUGAAAUAAAUCAUGUGAUGUUUUAAGUAGAAACCAGUCUGUCCUCUCAGGUAUUUUCUUGGGUGGUUCAGGAACAAGACCUAUCCAGAGAAACACAGAAAACAAUGGAUCGACUUCAUGCUCAGUACCACAGUCAUCAUGGAGUAUGCUGAUCCCUAACCCUGUGCAGAUAGGGCCCUGCCUCUCCUACAGUGCCCAUGUGGAUCGGGAGUGUGUGAGGUCUCCAAGCAGGAAGGUUUCAGCUGAGUUGGCAUAGCUCAGAACAGGGAUGGACUCUCAUGACUUUGUACUUAUUGAAUCAUGGAUUGCAGUAGGACUCCUAACUUCUCAGGAUCCUUCCCAGCUACAUUAGCAUGGAUACUCAGUAGUGAUCAUAGAUGAUGGUCCACACAGUGCCGCUAUAUAAUAAGGCACCUGAGAAUUCCAUCUUCUGGGUAGCCCCUCAUGAAAUGUAGAACAGAGAGAAUGUGGCAACCAAUUCUCCUGUUCCAACACUUUAAUGUUCUCCUUGCAGAUCCCUACCAAGUGAAUGUCAACGCACGAGGAUUUAAAAAUACAAAUGACCUGAGCCAAGUUAUUUCCGGGUUCACGUUCAGUGACUCCAGGGUUGUUGAUCCCUCUCAAGUGAAUGUCAACGGAUGAGGAUUUAAAAAUACAAAUGACCUGAGCCAAGUUAUUUGCAGGUUCACGUUCAGUGACUCCAGGGUUGUUGAUGAAAGCCCUACAGAUAUAACUGAUACCACCAUAAAUUGUCCCGGAACGAAGAUACAGCAUACUGGCGAAGAGACAGGCCAGCUGCUGGCACCACCCAUUUCCUUCAAGAAGACUGAUGGACACUAAAGAAGCUCCACCCACAAAAGUGGCAACAAUAGCCACUGAGAAAUCCUGUUGUUCAUCUCAACUGCUGCAAAAGGCUCUAUGGACCCUGGACAAGAGGGCAGUGGAAUCGACUUUCUCCAUGUUGCUUGGGCCAAAGGUAGGUAAAGUCUUCCAAAAGCUCCUAAUCCACAGUUCUCAUGCCAUCAGUAGAAGGCAGAUGUCCUUAAAGCCUCUGACUUCAACAACUGUGGAGGACCUGGGGUGGCUGUCCAUGCUGCCAGCUAGUAAGUCUGUGUUACUCUAAUCAUUCAGGAAAAAUUUUAUCCUUCUCAAGAACUCUGAUGCUUUUGAAGACUGGUAGCUUUGUCAGCUUAAAGCAGCAGCAAAGAAUCCAAUUGUUUCAAAACAGAUUUCAAAAAAAUGGGUAUUUUAAGGUUGCUCCUAUUUAUUGUCUUAACAUGAAUCAAUAAAGUUUUAAGAAGCUACUAAUCCAAUUCUGAGAGUAAUAAACACCAUACUAUGCCACUAUAUGAUGGUAACUAACUAUAAGCUUACAAUUAAGGUGCGUUACAUUGUGCUAAAAAUCUGCCAGUUGUAUGUGUUAAUUCUUUCAGCCAAAUCAUUUCUAAUAUGAGUAUGCUGCUAAUGUGUCUUAAUAUUUAUGUUUUCACAAACUAAAGGAUUCUUUUAAGUUCCAGGGAGCAGAAUUGGAUCCAUUUACAGGUCAGAUUCACUCCAAAUAAAUAUUACUCAACUUUUUCCUGGCCUCAGGACAGGACUUCCUUCCUUUGUCCCGGGACCCCCUUGGGAGCCCCUCCCCCACCUCACACUUCUCCCAUUAAGUACUAAGACCUAAGAGAAAAAAACCUAACCUUGUCCUCUGUUCUGCUAACAUCUUGCCAGGUCUCAAAGAGAUGCCAGAGCCCCAUACUGUCAGAACUGUGAUGAAACAACCAGCUACCAGGACUUGGCAACACCCCAGCUUUCUCUGAUCCCCCAAAGACAAUCUAUGCCCCCAAGUCUGCAGGAAGCAGUCUCCAGAACUCAAGGUCCUUAUUCCCUAACCUGCCACGCCCAACACCCACCUUUUUAAUAACAAUAAGAGGUGGGAAUGUUAGGAACUAGCAGCCAGCUGACCCCAGCCCUGACAAUGGGCUGGAUGCUCAUGGCCUUGUCAUCCCUAAGUCAGCUUUACCUGGCUGCUCAAGCUUUACCUGCCUGCCAGAGGACUCAGUUAUGCAUGCACAAGCCCCCUUUUAAAGCAAGUGCACCAAGCUCACCUCUCUCUCUGGUUCCUCUCUCUGGUUUCUCUCUUGCCCCAACUUGCUCUCUCUCUCUCUCUCUCUCUCUCUUUCCUGCUUUAGGUUGGCCACCAGCUACCCUCUCUUUCUCUUCCUUCUCUCAAUAAACUCCACAUGGCGCUGA